CCUUCACGUGGAGAUUUUGAAAGUGGGUGGCCUCCGCGAUGGCUUCAGAAUGACCUUCUCUCAAUCUGUGAAGCUCGUCUUCCAUCUUCUUUGAUUUCUUUGUCCAGUGAAGGACUUCCUUCUUCAGCCGCUGGAUCGUCGACUUCAGCGGGAUCCCCAGGGGUAGGGGAAGUGCUUCUACAGGACACUGCCAUCGGAGGGCAAAAGCAUCAAAACACGACUCAUCGCAGGAAGAAAAGCAGAGAGAAGAAGGG
rnacentral:lncRNA from 1 species